UUAUUAGACGGGAAAAACCAGAAGUGAAAAUAGUAAAAGAUCCAUUUGCCUUACGUUACAUACAGAAAAAUGAAGAACUGAGGAAAGAAAAUAUUGAAUUGAGAUAUGAAAACAAGCAACUAAGGGUUUAGAAAAGCAGUGAGGUUUAUAGAAGAGCAGUCAGUGAGAUUUAUAGAAGAGCAGUGAGGUUUAUAGAAGAGCAGUCAGUGAGAUUUAUAGAAGAGCAGUGAGGUUUAAAGAAGAACAGUCAGUGAGAUUUGUUGAAGAGCAGUGAGGUUUAAAACGAAAGACAGUUUAAUACAGAUAAAAAGGUAUCCAGAGCCAAGUCUUUUUGCAAAAAUGACAGUAAAUGUGUUACAAUUUUAAAUGUUUUAUACCAGUGUAUUCUUUCCAUAAUAAAACUAUGUUCAUUUCUA